GGGCAGAAGGACAGGAGCAUAGGAAUUGGGGGUCACUGGUUUGUUGGUGGGCGAGGGGAUCCAGCCUUCACGGAUGCUGACAUCUUGACAAAGAGGCUGGAUCAGAGUUUCAAGCAGCAGCAGAGUAUAAACUGCUUACUGAGAAACACGCGCAGACUAGGCGCAAGAAGCCUAAGAAGAUUCUAAGAAAAUAAACACAUCUGCAAAGUGUUCAACCGUGGUCAAUUUCCUAUACUGGAAUGCUUUAGAACUGGUGGAAAAAAUACAAGCCUCACGCCAUUCACAGACCCGCUGGCUCAUCUGAGAGUCCUGGAUCAUCGGCGAGAAGCCCCAAGGGAAGACUUCUCUGUGACCUUACUCAUCUCACUGGGAUGAUUGGUGAGGCUGGGAUUUCUCUCACAAGGUGCUGGCGACACAUUUGAACAAGACAUUUCCAGGAGUUUUAACCAUCCUCCCAUUCUCUCCUGGCUCCUUAUGCCCAUUCACCCACUGGCACCAGAAGAUGCUAUCCCAGGGCCAGAGGGGACCUCGGAGAGCCUCUUUCUUGCCGUCAGUGUGGGAACCUGGCUGCUCACCUGAGCCCAGAAGUCAUUAAACAAAAUCCUUCUUUCCAUUCAAAACAGAUCCCAUUGUGGAGAAGCUCAAGUUAGUAGGUGAAAGCAGCCAGCUCUGUAAACAGCUUCUGGGGUAAACUGCCCAUGUAGGUGGGAGCGAGGCUGCUGUGUGUGUUUUAACAUCAACAAUCAUCUGUUCUCUGCUUUCACUCUUGUUGGGGGAGGUUUCCAAGCUGUGCACCCUGAAACUGAAGAGCUCGCCUUUCAGCCCUACCCGGAGUGAGAAGGGAGACGCAGAGCCGGUGGGCGGUGGACCCCGGCCCCUUCCCACCUCGUCACACAGCAGCCCCGCUUGCAUCUGCUUUAGAGAUCCCGCCUCUGCAAAAACCUUUGUUGAAAAAAGUUUCAGAGGCCAAAUACAUCGGCCAACCUGAGCUUUGAAUGACCGAUGGUGCAAAAGCAGACCGCUCCAUCUCUCAGGCACCCAUCGUCCAUUGGUUUAAUUCCUGCCCAUUCUGCCCCUUCUGACCGUCAGCCUUGGGCAUUCGAUUGUGAAGAGAUGGGAUUCAAUGCCGUCAGUUGCAUGUUUGUCAAUCAACCACUAGAAACUAUGAGUCCUGCGCUAAAACCGCUGUGCCGGAAGAAGUGCAGUGUGUGGUACACGGAGAUCUGGUCUCAGAUGUGCUUAUCCUUAAAAUUAUGAUCGUUAUGCUCCGGCUGGAGAAAGCAGUGUGCUAGUAAAUGUUUAACAACUGGAUCUUCAGGGAGGAGAAAAAAGCCUUGCUUUAUAGCACUUGCUGAUUACCGUGGUGUGAAUACUCCCAACAAGGUCAAUUUCAAUCUACCGACCUGACAUCAUUGAGCACAGAGCUGGGAGGAGACAUGCAGAAGCACGCUGCUGUGUCAUAUCUUCCCCUCUUAGACAUCCAGAAGACACGAAUAACCUCAAAGCACAGCUAAUGAACCUCUAGUCAAAUAUUUAGGAAAGGAUGCGUGUAGAACAUUUGUUGCCUCUGCUCUUAAUAUAAUUUACUUAAUUGGAGAUUCGCAUCAUUUACUUUAUAGUAAUGGCUGGAUUGAACAAUGGGUGCGCCAAAUCCAGGAGAGUUUCACAGUUUGCUCUUGCGAGCUGGGUGCUGGCGGGCGCUGGCUCUAGGACACUUCUGAUGGCGAUCCCGUUGGAAAGCGACUUGAGCCACUUGGCCAAGCCUCAAGACACUUAGAUUCUCUCAAUUCGAAAGCUUGAGAGCUUCGGGUUGCUGCACUGGGAGAUCUGAGAGCCGCAAAAUACACUUUAGCAUGAGGGUGAAUUUAAGGUGACCUGUUACUGCUUCUUAAGAAAGUUGUAGGGGAAACUUUCUCUCAAACUGUGAAAUGAACAAUUUUCGUUCUAGUUGACUUGCUUCUAAGGCCAAGGAGAGACAGCCUUUCAAGUUCCUGCUGGACGAGGCUGCAUGUCGAACAGGUGCUCUUCAGAUUUGGAAGCCAGACGUUGUAUUGCUGUGAGAAGCGAUUAGUACAACUUCCAGAUACCGCAGGUUGGCAUCGGUGCUGGCUCCUGCUUCCUGCUUCCUGCCGUGAGUGGGGGUGUUUUUCCUGGGAUGCUGAGGCCAGAGUACACAGACAGAAAUGUGGAAGGGUAGGCUUUUGACCAGAAGUAACAGCAAGUAUGAUGUGA
ensembl:lncRNA